GACAGAGGAUGCAAGCGUUAUCCGGAAUGAUUGGGCGUAAAGCGUCUGUAGGUGGCUUUUUAAGUUCGCCGUCAAAUCCCAGGGCUCAACCCUGGAAUGCCGGUGGAUACUGUCGGGCUAGAGUCCGGAAGGGGCGAGUGGAAUUCCUGGUGUAGCGGUGAAAUGCGCAGAUAUCAGGAGGAACACCGAUGGCGAAGGCAGCUCGCUGGGACGGUACUGACGCUGAGACGCGAAAGCGUGGGGAGCAAACAGG
rnacentral:rRNA from 1 species